GCUGCUACACAUCUGCUAUGCCGAUCAGCGAAUUUAAUGGAUCCGCCGCGCCUACUACAGUACUACUACGCCCUCUCUCUCUCUCAUUAUUAUCUAUCUCUCUCUCUCUCUCUGCCUUAAUUGGUGCUCCUGCUGCUACAGCUAUUAUUAGUCGCCAUUAAACCCCUCCUCUCUCAGAUCCCUUUCCUUCGUGCACCCUCCUUAUGUCAUCUCCCUCCUCCUCCUCCUCCUCCUCCUCCUCCCCGUUCGGCUCCUCGAUCCCCUUCUCCUUCCUCUCGCCGCCUAGGGAAAAACUCCGAUCCCCUCUCCCACUCCUGCAUUACCCGAUCUCUCGGAUCGGCCUCGUUUGACUCGUGAGCUCGGUCGAGGAAGGGAGAGGGAGAUGAACCCGCUGUGUUGCAUCGCCCCCGUCUCCCUCGAUCGCGGCGGCGAGCACGGGAACGUAGCGCCGCCGCCGGCGGCGCUGAAGCCGCGUGCGCCGCCGGGGGCUCAGAUCCCCGUGAGGAGCAGCCUGUCGAGCAAGCAGN
rnacentral:lncRNA from 1 species